rnacentral:rRNA from 1 species
GGGGAAUCUUGCACAAUGGGCGGAAGCCUGAUGCAGCGACGCCGCGUGCGGGACGAAGGCCUUCGGGCUGUAAACCGCUUUCAGCAGGGACGAGGCGAAAGUGACGGUACCUGCAGAAGAAGCCCCGGCUAACUACGUGCCAGCAGCCGCGGUAAUACGUAGGGGGCAAGCGUUAUCCGGAUUCAUUGGGCGUAAAGCGCGCGUAGGCGGCCAGCCUGGUCGGGAGUCAAAUCCGGGGGCUCAACCCCCGUCCGCUCCCGAUACCGGCCGGCUUGAGUCUGGCAGGGGAAGGCGGAAUUCCCGGUGUAGCGGUGGAAUGCGCAGAUAUCGGGAAGAACACCGGUGGCGAAGGCGGCCUUCUGGGCCACGACUGACGCUGAGGCGCGAAAGCUAGGGGAGCGAAC